GCUUACAAUAAAAAACAGUAUAAAAACAUAAAUAAGAGCAAAGUUAAAAACAAAUUUAAAAAGCAAGAUUACAGUAUUAAAAUGUAACAGGUUAAUAAGGUGGAGAGGACCCCCCUCAUGACAACCAUCCCUGGGGUUGCAUAUCACUCUUUGAAACCAAUGCCAGUUGGCAGAUCCAAGUCUUAACUCUGUUCCUGAAGGCCAAAAAAGAAGGAGGGAAUAUCUCACUCCCGGGGUAGGGUAUUCCAAAGGGGAGAAGCAACAGCAGAGAAGACUUUCUCUGGAAUCUACCAGUUUAAAUUCUUUAACCUAUAAGAUCCACAAUAUCCCUGCAUGACUGGGUGGGACAGUACAAUACAGUUGGGGUGAGAUAAUUCCUCAGGUAACUUGACCUGUGUCAUGAAGGGCUUUAAAGAUGAUAACCAACACCUUGAAUUGGACUCAGAAACAAACUGGCACUCAAGCUUGUAUAACAGAGCUGUUAUAUACACAACCCUAGGGGUGUCCAAGAUGCUUGCACUUUUCAUAAUUUUGAAGCCUUUUUUGUACCAUAUAUUAGAGUGAAUAUUAUAGAAAUGUGGUCACUAAGGAUUUGCAUUUGUGGCAUGCAUAUUCAGUUUUUACUAAGGGUGUCUGUUUUUGAAUACUUUUUUAAUAUCCCUGAAGACCUUAGUGAUUAUAAGAACUUUGGUCUUCCCCUUCUGACCCUGCAGAAAGUUAUAUUUGCAAUUGAUCUUUAGGAAGCUUCAGCUAAAAACAUUUAGAACAAAAAGUAUGUAUUGACUCUCAAUUUUAAAUAUGACUGGUAUGACCCUUGAGGUUUGGUAUAGUUCUUUCAUCUCAGAAUUCUGUUACCAUACUGAGCAAAGACAAGUAAUCAGCCACUGAGUCUUGUUAGCACAUUUGCUGAAAAUGAUGCAUUCUAAUUUUAGGCUGAAAUCUUAUGUAUCCACAUAAGGCACAAAUGAAAGUAAGAGAGAUGAUGAAAAAUCAAAGGCUACCCUCAAAAUCUGUCUCUUUCCCUAUUAAGUUCAUCCUCCAAAUGAAUUUCUACAUCUGUUGAAAAUAAUAUGUCAUUUAUUACAGUGAGCAGGGUUUUUUUCCCCUCAGAAGGGUGUUUCCUAUUUUGUAGUCAGUGUAGCCUUCCUUCAGUAAAACCUCUUUUUUGUAUUUUAGGCAAAUCGUACCUGCCCUAUCUGCAGAGCUGAUGCUUCAGAAGUGCAUCGUGAUUCAGAAUGACCAGUCUAAGAGCACAAUUCUACUUUGGGUGUUCCUAGUCACAUAAACCGAGAGGAUUUUCAAAUCUGGUGCAAAUGCUUCUUGUAUUGUUGGCAAUAUAUUUGCUUAAAUAUACAGAUACACUGGCACUAAUUCACAUUCCUUGCCAUAUACAAGCUACCGUAUACAAUUAAAUACCUUUUAAAGAGAUUUUUUUCCCCAUUUUCAAAGCCUUCAGUUUUGUGAACAAAGUAAACCCUUAGCACUUUCUUAGAGAUAGAACAUUGUGAUUCUCCCAUCUUAGCCAUGGUACCAUGUUCACCUACUGCCUGGCAAGUGUCACAAAUGCAGUUUCUAGCUUGCUACCCUGGGUAGCGAGUUUUUGUGUGGAUGUUAAAGCAUCCUCAGUAUUGUAUGGAUAGUAUGAAGAAUAUUCAUGGUCAAGAAUGGGCGGGUAUACGAAAUCAAGAAAAAAAAACUAAAUGCUGUGAAUAUGGAGUUGACCUCCUUUCAACUGCCUUCUGAAUAAUGUAGUGGCAAAAUUGGCAUCACUUAACAUUCUGGACUUGGUGUUUAACUUUUUUUUACAACAAAGGAAACAGUUGUCUACCCAUGGCUACAUGAUUCUCCAAGAGAAGAACAUUUAUUUCUGGAUUUCAUUUAUAAGCACCAAAACCUUUGAUUGCAACGGCACAAGCGCUGCAGCUAUUGCUGCGAGUCAGCUUUCUGGAUCUUGUGUGUCUUUUCUGAUGCUUUAUAUGCUGCUAUAUAUUGAAUCUCUUUAUUCCUCCAGAACAGUGUUGGUUGUGAAUCAUCCUCCUUUCUCAGAGCUCUGAUGACUAAUCGCAGUGUGUGGUUCUACAAAUUUUAAAAAAGCACAAUUCCCAACAACCUUCCUUGUUUCAGAUACUGUUUGCCUCUGUUUAGUAACUUAGACGCCUUAGUCUGUCCAUAGUGUCAGGAACUGUAAUCUGUGUGACAGAUUUUACAUGUUACAAUUUUUCUCUUCAAUGUGCUCUAAGAAAUUGUCUCAGUGUGUUGAAAAGUUUAAAUUAUUGCACAUGGUAAAUUUUAUUUUUUUAAGCAAACAAAAUCAUGGGUUGGGAAGUGGGAGGGAAGCCACACAUGUUUUACAGAAACUCUGGAUCUUUUUUAUAUUGCUGGAUUUUCAAAAAAAGAAAAAGAAAAAAGAAAAAAUUACCACGCAGAAUUACCAUAAUAUUACCCUGCUCAUUGUCCACUGAGUACCCACUCAGUGUAAACCUUGUUUUGGUAACAGAUGUUUUCUGGAACACAGUGAGGCUCAUUAGUAUCUUAAUCCCAAGAAAGGGCUUUCCAGCCCUGCAUCUGGAUCCAAUAUUGCAGUGCAGCAUCUGUCCCUUGAAUCCCUGUUUCGUUUGAAGGACACUGUUGAUGGAGGGAUAGGACUGCAUGAGGGGAACUAUUCUGGUAGCAUACUCAAUUGUUGCACUCUUGUGGCAGAUCUUUUUGAAUGACUUGUUCGCUUGGGACUCUUGCAAAUGUGUGCAGGUUUGCUUCCUGUGGUUAGGUUUGUGUGAGACACAUGUGCAUGUGUUUUGAACCAACUCAAAGCUGGCUGCAGUGGAAUUCUGAACCCAUUGUGGCUGGCAGAUGAGAGGGGGAGAUCAUUCUUUGCAGUAAACUGCCAUGCAUUAUGCACAUUGUCACAUCUAAUUCUAUAGCCCUCGAUGCCUGACAGCACCUAAUUAUACUAUUGGGUAGCCUCUUCCCCCUUAUCCCUACCUCUCCCUAAUGGAAAAAAAAUAAAGUUGGCUUUAUCAUGUUGGCACUGCUGGGGUUUUAUUUGCAUGAAUUGUCAACUUAAUUUGACCUCCUGGCUUUUAAAAAAUAAACGGUAUAAAGGCCUUAAGGAUAUCUCUUUAAGGCCACACCUCUUGGUUUUCUUUUGCAGAUUAUUUUGUGGAAAGUAAUUUCUUUUGUAUAAACUUCUUUGUACAGUCUCCAGAAUGUGAUAUUUGUUGCAGCUGUUAACAUUUCCACUUCUUGUACUAUUUGGGAUUUACCAACUCUUAACUUUGCUUUCUAAAAACUCAACAACAAAAAAACUGUUAUUUGUAGACACCAGAGAACGGUGGUUCUCUCACCUUUGCUCCCUUUGGUACCUUCAGUUACCUCAUUUUGGGUUUUUGUUUUUUUUUGUGUUGCAGAUUUGCUAAUGAUUAUAAAAGCUUAUGGAUUUUGUUAGAAUUAUAUUUGUCAGAUGUUUUCUUUUACGAUCAUACUCCAUUGUAUCAUUUAACAUGUAGUUUUAAAUGUAUUAUAAAUAUCUGUAACCAAAUCAUUUGAAGGCUUGAUAAAUUUUUAACAAAAUUUGUACAUUUUUUAUGAGAGUUACUAGUAAUGCUUUACUAAGUAGUGCAAUGAAUUUUUAUUUUUAAUCCCUGUGCCCAAUUUUGGAGUUGAGAGGGUUGUUCAGUAAUAAAUGUAUGAUGUACA